AGCAAUCAUUUGUUUUUAUUUGUACAGGUCGUAGUGUCAAAUGUUCAUAGACUAACGUUAUCAACACGUUACAUAUUUCAGUACAUAAACAGUUGAUUUAUAUUUUGUAUUAUUGUAAAGUUAGGUUUAGGGUUUGGGUAGGCGUAGGGGUUAGCUAAUGUUAUUUUAUUGGAAUUCUAUGGCGAGAUGGUUGCACCACUUCCGGCCGUAGCUGCAUCCCUUCUAGAUACAACCUAUCUGCGAAGAAGAAGAAGACAGAGCGCAAUGCACGACGUAGAAAUGGCUAAACAACAUUACAGUUCUAACGGCGGGCACUUUUGAGCGAAAGGAUCCACCGAUGCAAACCACAAAACACCGCUGUAGAUGAAAAAUCUGUCAUUUCUCGUGUAACGGAGGCCAGCUGUUAGAGGGAGAGCUGUGUGUGCACGCAGAGGCUGCGAGCUCGUCUCUCCCUCGCCGGACCGAUGGCGGUUUCGAGGCUAGGAGGGGUUACAUCCCGCAUCCCUGAGAACACCCCCCAGGAAAGAAUGAAUUCGGCGAGAGUCCCGUCUGGUCGUGAGGAGAGUAUCACUACAGGUGAGGCAUCAGAAAGUUUGUCAGUAUUUUAUGAGAUCCAAGCGCCUGUGAGAAGGGCGUUGUGUGUUUUUACUGUCCCAGAGAAACCUGUAGGCUCUUUGUUGCGAAAAGCAGGCGGUUACGUCAUCUCGGGGGGAAUGCGCUUUGCGGUUGUUCAACAGGUCAUGCACUCCAUUACAACAGCUGCCCAGCUGGACAAAAAACCCAACCCAACGCUCGCUUCAGUGAUGGAACGUAGAUAAGCAGGGAGGUACUUUGCAGCCUGUCCGUUUACCAUGGGAAUGGAACUCCCGCCGGCCGUGAUGGAGAGGAAACAGGGGUCUCUGUACACACUUUAUUCUGACCGUUCUUCAUCACUCAGACCAGGUGGACAUCUCCAACACUUUGGACGGGUCACUGGAUCACCGCUUCUUUCACCACAUCCACAGCCAGACUGGAUGUCCGUACUGUAUUUAUUUUUCAGGGUGUGUUUGUGUGUGUGUGUUUGUGCGUGUGUGUGUUUGUGUGUGUGUGUGUUUAAUUAAGCUGUCCACAGAGGGGUUUCCUGGACAGAGCCCGAUGAAGACAUACCAGACGGUAUGUGUAUGGACCCAGAGGGUGUCAGUGGGUCGCCUGCUACCAUGGAGGAAGAGAUUUGCGCAUUGACCCACAAAAAGGUGUGUGAGUUUCUCAAUCUAUUUGCCAUUUGUGUUUGUGUUGCCGGAGGAAAAUGAACCCCACUAAAAUUGCAUUUUGAGACCAUUUGAUGGACCAUUUUAAAGCGGCCGUCUUUAUCGAAAUGGCUUUUGUCCAAUACGUAAAGUUAACGGACUUCCUUCAGGCACCCGACUGCAGACUGUGAAACUGGUAGGAGAAGACCACCUCGUGUUGUGCUGGUGGAAAGGAUCACGCUGAUCUGUACAUCACCAUCAUGCCGUUUAAAGACAUGGAUGGAAAUUCACUGGCCAUACAGCCUUCGACACAUAACAUCCUUUAUUCUCACCGCAGGUCACGGGUGUGGGAGUGACAGCCAUUCCAUUGUUCUGGUGUACUGGAUAAAAACCAAGAAGACAGCGAUGAUGCUUGUUGAUACGUUACCAUUUUUUCUGAUGAAUCAGCAUUGAUUAUUUGAUUAUACCGUUGUAACCGUGCAACCGUCGCUUUAAUGCAGGAUAACGUGGGACAGAUGAAAAUCUUUGUUUCGUGGUAUUACACACAGGAAAAUAUUUGCCUUAAACUGAUUUGAUAGACCCGAUCAGUGGAUAUAAAAUGCAAUUAUUCACAAAUCCACUUUUUAGACGUGACCUCACAAAAGUAAAACAAUUGUAAACGUUUUCUAAUCCUGCUUACAUUAACCCAACUCUGUGAACAAAAGUAUUCAUGAAUGAUUUCCAGGGAUGGAUUUGAUAGCGAUCCUGAUUCCACAUUUGCCAUGUUUAUUAUUGAUCAUCUCAACGUGGGGGAAAAGGUGGACUUCAUGUUUGUGUGAAUCUUAAACAUUCCCCUAGAAAGUGAAGAAAACGCUGGAUUGACAUUUUUGGUAAUCUGCUGUAUUUAAAUGAGUUUGAA